GAAUGGGAAUGCCAGAGACCAACUCUAAUUGCUGUACGUACCACAGCCAGAAAAAUAUCUGAUUGAUAUGUCCAAACUGCCAUCCACAACCUCUUUCUCAAGAUGCUGAAUACUUACAGCUUUCAUAGAUUUCACAAGAAGAUGGAGGUGAACAGCACUUCUGAAAAAAAAUUAGGCCAUCUAUUUAGAUACCGUCCCUUGUGAAAAUCUGGAGGUGUGGAAGUGAUAAUGGAUUACUUAAAAUAUUUUAGUUUUCUUUGAAUAAAUUAAGCUUU